AGCAGCCGCGGUAAUUCCAGCUCCAAUAGCGUAUAUUAAAGUUGUUGCAGUUAAAAAGCUCGUAGUUGAAUUUCGGGAUUAGUAGGUUGGUCGUGCCUCUGGUAUGUACUCGCCUUACUGAUUCCUCCUUCCUGAAGAACUGUAAUGCCAUUAAUUUGGUGUUGCAGGGAAACAGGACUGUUACUUUGAAAAAAUUAGAGUGUUUAAAGCAGGCCAUUGCCUGAAUACAUUAGCAUGGAAUAAUGAAAUAGGACGUUGAUCCUAUUUUGUUGGUUUCUAGGAUUGACGUAAUGAUUAAUAGGGAUAGUUGGGGGCAUUAGUAUUCAAUUGUCAGAGGUGAAAUUCUUGGAUUUAUUGAAGACUAACUACUGCGAAAGCAUUUGCCAAGGAUGUUUUCAUUAAUCAAGAACGAAAGUUAGGGGAUCGAAGACGAUCAGAUACCGUCGUAGUCUUAACCAUAAACUAUGCCGACUAGGGAUCGGAUGAUGUUAAUUUUUAAUGACUCAUUCGGCGCCUUACG
rnacentral:rRNA from 1 species